CUUGGAUGCAGCUUGACUUCGCAAGGCUCUUUCAAUGGUUCGUCUGCUCACGAACUGCCACGUAUGCGUGAAUGAAAUAAUGCACACAUUAUUUCCGACAAGUGUGCAUGUAUAUUAUUAACGAAUACUCAACAAGUCUUCCCGUGAAUUUUUCUUAAAAAGGGCGUGCAUAAUUCGGAUUGGACGAUUAUCAAGUUACCUUUUUUCAUUUCAUCAAUUGAUUUAAUCGACUGUGACUUUUUCUUCAUCCAAGACGUUGACGGGUUUACGAAGAUUUACGCUUAAUACAACGGUGGCUGAGCUUACAGCGCUAGCCAAUGCCACACUUCGAAGGGGAAAAAAGGCAAUGACAUUUUUAUUUAUUGAUAGCAUAACAAGAGACUUGAAUGGAUUAGGAUGUAAACAGGAACGAUAACAAUAAGGACGGUAUCGUGAUCAAGACAGAGCAAGUGGGGAUCCCAGUGAGAUCAAAAGGUAGGGCUGGAACGAUUCGAGCGGCAAAACGGACAUUGGUUCUUUUGCAGGUAAUGCAACUCAUAGUCGUCAGCAUGGAAUAUCUUAUUACAAUGUUUGCAAUGUUUGAGGGCAACAUCGGGCAAAAAAUUGCGGUAGUACUGGCUAGGCAAGGGGGAUGGCCAUCGACAGAUGAUCACUUCGGUGGGUUUCAGUUGCAGCAACGCAUCACGGUUGAGAACUAUUUUCGACGUCUGAUCUCGUAACUUUAAGAAACAAAGAAUUUGAUCAUAUUUUUGUUUUUUCACUUACAAAAAUUUCAAUAAUAAAAGAAACCACAAACCUGGUGAGGAUAAAAAUAUGAGGCAAAAGGAUCUGCAGUCGAUUGUCUGUCGUUUUCGUAGAGUUGAUAGUCUUCUCCUCCAUUCUUCACGUCCAGCGGUCUUUUAGGGGGUUCCGUUUUAAUCAAUUGCUGGGCUUCUACAGCUGAGAUAUCCUCCUCCACGUAGAACUCGACCAGAGGAAGAAUCUC